GUCUUCAUUUUCCGUUUCCAACAAGUAUUUCAUCUGUCUGAUUUGUCUGUCAAUUUUAAGAGUUUCAAAUUUUUAAUAGAUAAUUUUUUUAAAAUUAGAAUGUAUUAUAUUUUAAUUUCUCAAAAUAAACAAGCACUCAUUUUAGAACACCUAAAGAACAAACAAAACGACACAAUAGGAAAUACUCCAAAAAUUUACCAAUUAUUUUUUCGUGCGAUUUUGUGAUCUUAAAUCGCUAUGAGUCAUUGAUCCGUGUUCCAGAUAUCCUUCCCAAUCAGACAAAGCCACUUCACUACCCCCAAACUGCGGUCUAAACCGUCCAUUAUUAUUUUCAAAACAACCAAAUAAAUGACUUAAGUUUUGCGAGGUCAUCAAUCCCCGUCUAUCAGUAUCUUCUAAUCAAAACUAAUCAUAACACCUUUAUAUACGAAACACGCUACACCUAAUCCUUUUCAUCUUACAACCAACACCUUUCCUUUAAUUCUUCUCUCUCCCUCUCAACAUUUUUGCUCUCUAUUCCUGUGAAAUUCCCGAUAGCGUUUAAGGCUGAGAAGAAGCCAGCAGAGAAGAAGUCCACGGUGGUGGAGAAGGCCCCGGCGGAGAAGAAACCGAAGGCGAUAAAGAAGCUGCCUAAGGAGGGCGAGGCUGCAACGGCCGGACAAAAAGAAGAAGAGGACAAAGAAGAGCGUGGAUACGUACAAGAUCUACAUCUUCAAGAUGCUAAAGCAGGUACACCCAAACAUUGGGGUCUCGAGCAAGGCCAUGGGCAUCAUGAACAGCUUCAUCAACGACAUCUUUGACACGCUUGCUUAGGAGUCCUCGAGGCUCGCUAGGUACAAUAAGAAGCCUACAAUCACAUCUCGGGAGAUCCAAACUACAUUGAGGCUUGUGUUACCUGGUGAAUUGGUGAAGCACGCCGUGUCGGAGGGUACCAAGGCCGUGACCAAGUUUACUAGCUUCAUCAACGGCAUCUUUUGUUUUCAAUGCAUGUGUAUUGAACUUGAUUUGCCAAUUUGACGUCCAAAGUAGCUUUUUGAGUGACUGGUGGAUUUGUAGAUUGUUAAUGUUGACGUAGUUUACUAGUCAUGUUCUAGCGUUUUGGGAAAUUUGGUGUUGGUGCUAGGAUUACAUUUUACUUUUCGCUAAGCGUUUGUUGUUUUCAUUUUUGCAUUUGAAGUCGAUUAACACUCAUAUAUUGUGUGCAAGUACUUGUGCUUCAUUGAGGAAUGAAUAUGCUAUUGCUCACCAACCUCUUUGGUUCUAUUUUUAGUAUGUGUACGGAUCUAAAAUUGUGUCUACAUUCAAAUAAGCUUUUUGAGUAAUUGCUGGUGAAAACCUAUUUUUCUAUAAUUAUUAAUCGGAUCUUUCAAUCGAUUGGCACAAAUACCCUAAAUAUUGUCAAGUCACUUAGUUAAAGCAGUCAGUUAUCUCUCAAAUAACUAGAAUGCCAAGAAAGAAAAACAAAUGCUCCUUUCAUGGUGGAACUUAAAAUUGUUAAUUACGUUUUGAAGUUAAUUCUAUAAUUAAUUACCAAUUACAACUAAUAUAUAGAGAAGACAUGCCCAAGGAAUAUGAUUUUUCAACCAUCUAUAGAGAAAACAACUCUAAGGGUUUCAAAUUACGAUCAAGCCUAAGAAAAUGGUAAAAUCAUGCUCGGAGGCUCGGAGCGCAUAAAAGCAAGGCUCCAAACCAANNNNNNNNNNNNNNNNNNNNNNNNNNNNNNNNNNNNNNNNNNNNNNNNNNNNNNNNNNNNNNNNNNNNNNNNNNNNNNNNNNNNNNNNNNNNNNNNNNNNAUUCGCAAGAUAGUGCACAUGAUUAUCUUGGUAUGGAUAACUCAUUGUGUUUUUGUUUUCAAUGGAUGCAUUACCCUUUAUGCUUUGUACCUCCCCACAAUGAUGGCUAUGCUAUCUUAGGGAGCGUUGAAGUUUGCUUCUUCUAUUGAGUUUUUUAUGGUCAUCAAUACAAGUUAUACUUAAUAGAACUAAUUUGAUUCGAAAGCUAGUAUACAUGAUUAUCUUAGGCUGAAUAACUCGUUGUGGAUUGUUGUUUCAACAGAUGUAUUACCUUUUUAUGCUUUAUACCUCCCCACAAUGAUGGUUAUGUUGUCUUUGGGAACAUUAAAGUUUGCUUCUCUAGAGUUUUUUUGGGUCAUCAAUAUGAGUUAUCCUUAAUAUGACUAAUUUGAUUCUCUAGAUAAUCGCAAUUUCAUACUUUGUUGGAUCUUCCUUAUCUCUUGAUCGAGCUUGUGAAGGUAGGCGAUGCUUGAUAGGGCCGAUAGUAGUACAUUAUGUAGAACAAAGUAAGGACCCUUCUUACCUCUUGUUUGACGGGAAAUACUUUCUAAAUGGAGUAGAACUUGGGAAUGUCAAUCUAUUUCUUAAAAGAUUUAGCCGAAUUGAUGUUGAUUGAUGGUGUGUAAACAGUUCAAGAUGCCAAAUUCUAAAAACUAGUAAGAGUUUCCCCACUCUGCUUUGAUCUGUCUUAGGUCUGAGUGGCAACCUCAAUUGAGCAGAAGUGCGAUAUGCCCUAAAACUCGGGAUCACAUAUGGAUUUGGGCACCAUUAUGAUCACCUUUUUCAUGACCUUUUUUUAUGGAUAAAUAUUAAAUGUUUUCGUGCACACUCACAUUGUAAAACUUUAUAUUUAUUUAAUAUACGAGUUAUAUAUCAUCUAUUCAUCUAUUCAGGUACAUUAUUUGAAAAAUUGACACAAAAGAAUAAUGUUUCCAAGGUUUUUAAGUCUUUAAUAUGAAUAAAAAGGUUAAGAGAGCGGGCAUUUGAUGUGAAGCUUUUAUAAUCUACGUUUGAGGUUACUGGGUUAAACUUGUUUAUUAGUUUUGCAAGUUUAAGCACACACAAUGUCAAACUAUGCAGUGUAUGCUUGUUAAGUCCUAUAACGACAAUGACGAUGUAAUAACGUUUGUGGAAUGAUAGUAGUGGCUCUAACGAUAGUGACGAUGACAAUAGAGAUAUAGAGAUGUUGGUAUUGGUGGAGGUAAAGUGGUGGGAGAGGGUUGUAGCGAAUUGGGGGCCAUGGUCGGUUAAUAGUUGAAUGAUUGUAGGCAGCGAUGGUGGGUGGUGGAUGGUUGGUUGUUGUUAUGGUGAUGGCGUGGCAAAAGUGGUACUAGUAGUCUUGGAGACGACGUGCGAGUAAUGAUGGUGGGGGUUGUGGUAAUAGCAAUGGGGGGUAGCGGGACACAUCAAUGCUUAUAACGCACAAUUACAAAUUCCACCCAAUAUUUUAAGUAAGAAUUACGCUACUUAUUUAUUUAUUUUUUAAAAAAAUUGAACUAAAAUGUAACUUGUGAUUGUUAAAAAAAUUCAAUUUACUUUCUCUAAAAACAUUUAUUUUAAGAGUUAAAAUUUAGUUAUCAAAUAUGUAAAUGUAAAUAUUAUAGUUUUGUCUUCAUUUUCCGUUUCCAACAAGUAUUUCAUUUGUCUGAUUUGUCUGUCAAUUUUAAGAGUUUCAAAUUUUUAAUAGAUAAUUUUUUUAAAAUUAGAAUGUAUUAUAUUUUAAUUUCUCAAAAUAGACAAGCACUCAUUUUAGAACACCUAAAGAACAAACAAAACGACACAAUAGGAAAUACUCCAAAAAUUUACCAAUUAUUUUUUCGUGCGAUUUUGUGAUCUUAAAUCGCUAUGAGUCAUUGAUCCGUGUUCCAGAUAUCCUUCCCAAUCAAAUAAAGCCACUUCACUCCCCCCAAACUGCGGUCUAAACUGUCCAUUAUUAUUUUCAAAACAACCAAAUAAACGACUUAGGUUUUGCGAGGUCAUCAAUCCCCGUUUAUCAGUAUCUUCUAAUCAAAACUAAUCAAAACACCUUUAUAUACGAAACACGCUACACCUAAUCCUUUUCAUCUUACAACCAACACUUUUCCUUUAAUUCUUCUCUCUCCCUCUCAACAUUUUCGCUCUCUAUUCCUGUGAAAUUCCCGAUAGCGUUUAAGGCUGAGAAGAAGCCAGCAGAGAAGAAGUCCACGGUGGUGGAGAAGGCCCCGACGGAGAAGAAACCGAAGGCGAUAAGCCUAAGGAGGGCGAGGCUGCAACGGCCGGACAAAAAGAAGAAGAGGACAAAGAAGAGCGUGGAUACGGACAAGAUCUACAUCUUCAAGAUGCUGAAGCAGGUACACCCAAACAUUGGGGUCUCGAGCAAGGCCAUGGGCAUCAUGAACAGCUUCAUCAACGACAUCUUUGACACGCUUGCUUAGGAGUCCUCGAGGCUCGCUAGGUACAAUAAGAAGCCUACAAUCACAUCUCGGGAGAUCCAAACUACAUUGAGGCUUGUGUUACCUGGUGAAUUGGUGAAGCACGCCGUGUCGGAGGGUACCAAGGCCGUGACCAAGUUUACUAGCUUCAUCAACGGCAUCUUUUUGUUUUCAAUGCAUGUGUAUUGAACUUGAUUUGCCAAUUUGACGUCCAAAGUAGCUUUUUGAGUGACUGGUGGAUUUGUAGAUUGUUAAUGUUGACGUAGUUUACUAGUCAUGUUCUAGCGUUUUGGGAAAUUUGGUGUUGGUGCUAGGAUUACAUUUUACUUUUCGCUAAGCGUUUGUUGUUUUCAUUUUUGCAUUUGAAGUCGAUUAACACUCAUAUAUUGUGUGCAAGUACUUGUGCUUCAUUGAGGAAUGAAUAUGCUAUUGCUCACCAACCUCUUUGGUUCUAUUUUUAGUAUGUGUACGGAUCUAAAAUUGUGUCUACAUUCAAAUAAGCUUUUUGAGUAAUUGCUGGUGAAAACCUAUUUUUCUAUAAUUAUUAAUCGGAUCUUUCAAUCGAUUGGCACAAAUACCUAAAUAUUGUCAAGUCACUUAGUUAAAGCAGUCAGUUAUCUCUCAAAUAACUAGAAUGCCAAGAAAGAAAAACAAAUGCUCCUUUCAUGGUGGAACUUAAAAUUGUUAAUUACGUUUUGAAGUUAAAUUCUAUAAUUAAUUACCAAUUACAACUAAUAUAUAGAGAAGACAUGCCCAAGGAAUAUGAUUUUUCAAACAAACUCUAAGGAAUAUGAUUUUUCAAAUUACGAUCAAGCACCUAAGAAAAUGGUAAAAUCAUGCUCGGAGGCUCGGAGCGCAUAAAAGCAAGGCUCCAAACCAAAUUCCAAAAUGGAAGUUCCCUCCAUUUUAACCCCUCAAAACAAAAAAUCUAAUCACAUCUCAACCGUUAAUCCACUCGCACUCUCUAAUCUCUAUAUCCAACAGCCGAAACCAAAUUACACGUCAUCGAUCCGCGCGAACCCUCACCACCCAAUAAGACUCCCCCAAAACCUUCUAUAUAUUCUCCUUCGCAACCCUUGUCUCUUCACAAUCCAUUUUCAAAGCUAUUCAGAAUCUCAGAUCGAUUACGAACUCUUAACACUCUCUCUUGAAUUCGCGAUGGCACCGAAGGCCGACAAGAAGCCCGCCGAGAAGAAGCCGGCGGAGGAGAAGAAGUCCGCGGUGGCAGAGAAGGCGCCGGCGGAGAAGAAGCCUAAGGCGGGAAAGAAGCUGCCGAAGGAAGGCGGCGCCGCUGCGGCUGGAGACAAGAAGA
rnacentral:lncRNA from 1 species